GACGAAGGGGGCUAGCGUUGUUCGGAAUUACUGGGCGUAAAGCGCGUGUAGGCGGUUGCCCAAGUCAGGUGUGAAAGCCUUGAGCUCAACUCAAGAAAUGCACUUGGUACUGGGUGGCUAGAGGACCGGAGAGGAUAGUGGAAUUCCCAGUGUAGUGGUGAAAUACGUAGAUAUUGGGAAGAACACCGGUGGCGAAGGCGGCCAACUGGACCACAACUGACGCUGAGGCGCGAAAGCGUGGGGAGCAAACAGG
rnacentral:rRNA from 1 species